AAAGGUAAGCUACUAAGAGCGAAUGGUGGAUGCCUUGACUGGUAAAGGCGAUGAAGGACGUACUAGACUGCGAUAAGCUACGGGGAGCUGUCAAGAAGCUUUGAUCCGUAGAUUUCCGAAUGGGGCAACCCAAUGUAUAGAGAUAUACAUUACCUAUAUAGGAGCGAACGAGGGGAAUUGAAACAUCUUAGUACCCUCAGGAAAAGAAAUCAAUAGAGAUUGCGUCAGUAGCGGCGAGCGAAAGCGCAAGAGGGCAAACCCAGUGCUUGCACUGGGGGUUGUAGGACUGCAAUAUGCAAGAGGUAAGUUUAGCAGAACAUUCUGGAAAGUAUAACCAUAGAGGGUGAUAGUCCCGUAUGCGAAAAACAAACCUUAGCUAGCAGUAUCCUGAGUAGGGCGGGACACGAGGAAUCCUGUCUGAAUCCGGGUCGACCACGAUCCAACCCUAAAUACUAAUACCAGAUCGAUAGUGCACAAGUACCGUGAGGGAAAGGUGAAAAGAACUGAGGUGAUCAGAGUGAAAUAGAACCUGAAACCAUUUGCUUACAAUCAUUCAGAGCCCUAUGUAGCAAUACAGGGUGAUGGACUGCCUUUUGCAUAAUGAGCCUGCGAGUUGUGGUGUCUGGCAAGGUUAAGCAAACGCGAAGCCGUAGCGAAAGCGAGUCUGAAUAGGGCGCUUAGUCAGAUGCUGCAGACCCGAAACGAAGUGAUCUAUCCAUGAGCAAGUUGAAGCUAGUGUAAGAACUAGUGGAGGACUGAACCCAUAGGCGUUGAAAAGCCCCGGGAUGACUUGUGGAUAGGGGUGAAAGGCCAAUCAAACUUCGUGAUAGCUGGUUCUCUCCGAAAUAUAUUUAGGUAUAGCGUUGUGUCGUAAUAUAAGGGGGUAGAGCACUGAAUGGGCUAGGGCAUACACCAAUGUACCAAACCCUAUCAAACUCCGAAUACCUUAUAUGUAAUCACAGCAGUCAGGCGGCGAGUGAUAAAAUCCGUCGUCAAGAGGGAAACAACCCAGACUACCAGCUAAGGUCCCUAAGUCUUACUUAAGU
rnacentral:rRNA from 1 species